rnacentral:snRNA from 1 species
GAAUAUGAGCGUGCUCUGGCUGUGAUAUCCGUCACUGAUUGAUUGCCAAGGUUGAUUUGGCUGAUCUGGCUAGCUAGCAGGGUGCUGUCUCUCCUGCUCUCAUCACUCCCGGUGCGUCCCUCCUGAAAUUGUGCCCUCAGUGGAAGAGGGUGACCUUCCUCCAUGGAGAAGGACCUUUCUUCCAUCAAGUGUACAUGAAUACCUGUGUUCCCCAGUUAGAAUCUCCAAACAAGCUCUCAAGAAUACAUGCGCCCUAAAUGAUUAUUUUAUAAUAUAAAUACAUAAUAUAUAU